AUUGAACGCUGGCGGAAUGCUUUACACAUGCAAGUCGAACGGCAGCACGGGAGCUUGCUCCUGGUGGCGAGUGGCGAACGGGUGAGUAACGCGUCGGAACGUACCGAGUAAUGGGGGAUAACGCAGCGAAAGCUGUGCUAAUACCGCAUACGCCUUGAGGGGGAAAGUGGGGGAUCGCAAGACCUCACGUUAUUCGAGCGGCCGACGUCUGAUUAGCUUGUUGGUGAGGUAAUGGCUCACCAAGGCGACGAUCAGUAGCGGGUCUGAGAGGAUGAUCCGUCACACUGGAACUGAGACACGGCCCAGACUCCUACGGGAGGCAGCAGUGGGGAAUCUUAGACAAUGGGCGCAAGCCUGAUCUAGCCAUGCCGCGUGUGUGACGAAGGCCUCGGUUGUAAGU
rnacentral:rRNA from 1 species